GACGCGCGCCUGGGCCGGACGUGUCUCCGGAAUGUCCAGCAACAAUUUGUACCACCCUGCAUGAAUUGUUGCUGGACAUUUCUAAUUAUUUAAGUUUACUCCAAUCAUCACCCCAUGUGCAGCGCUAUCAUUAAAAAGGUUACUCUCAACCUUACACGCAAUACACAACAUUCGCCUGAAAUAAAGAUGUCGCUCCUGCAGCCAGUAGAGACGCAGUGAAAAAUACUUGUCCUCGAGUAACCAACGCGUUCUACUGGGAACGACCCAGCGGCGGACACCCGGCGAAACAAAUACCAGCUGCUGUGAACAUACUGCUGUUUUAUAAUUUGGAUACUUUGUUUUAAAACGGCCCAAAAUACUGUUGACAUUUCAGUAUUUUUAUCAUUUUAUAUAUGAAUGUUUAGUGAUGCUUCUUAAUGUUAUUUUUGAUAUUGUGUUCAAGUUUUAUAUUUUAGAUAUAAUUUAAUCCGGCACAGCGUUUUUUUUGUUGUUGUGUUGUGCCAACAGUAUUCGUGUAUUCUACCCGUGUAUUAGUUUAUCCCCGGACCGCAGAGACAGUCUGAUUGUAACACUAGUCCUGGAAGCUGGCCUAAAGGAGUGGGAUCUACUAGAUGUGAAUGUAAUGGCUUUGAAGCCAACACUAACCACUGAGUCAUUGUUUAGCCGCAACAAAGCUUCUUCUUGUUAUAUUACGAUAAUGCUUGUUCUAAUGUAAUUUAUGAUGACAGUCACGAACGCAUGCAACACAACGAGGUUGUCUGAAAUAGUAUUAUAAGACCAGUUAUAUUCCAAUCGAUAAAAUAUAAAUGGUGUAAUAUGUAAAUCUAUACUUCAAGCUAAUAAAAUAACUGUUAGGCAUGUGGAAGUAGUGAAUUAAUAUAAGAAUCAUAUUAUCAAUUUGUUAGAAUAUAUUCCACAAAUCAAAUCUCGAUGUCUGUAGGAUUCAAUGUAUCGUAUUUAAUCCCUAAUAGUAUACGUAAGAGAUCAACAAUACAUCAAGAGCAACAUCAUAAACUAUUCACAAGCGGGCAACUAGUUUAAGUUUUAGUGGGUAAGAACUAAAUUAUUAAUCAGUUUUAUUAAAUAGGUUAAGUAGCAA